rnacentral:rRNA from 1 species
UACGGGGGGGGCAAGCGUUGUUCGGAAUUACUGGGCGUAAAGGGCUCGUAGGCGGCCAAUUAAGUCGGACGUGAAAUCCCUCGGCUUAACCGGGGAACUGCGUCCGAUACUGGAUGGCUUGAGAUUGGGAGAGGGAUGCGGAAUUCCAGGUGUAGCGGUGAAAUGCGUAGAUAUCUGGAGGAACACCGGUGGCGAAGGCGGCAUCCUGGACCAACACUGACGCUGAGACGCGAAAGCGUGGGGAGCAAACAGG